rnacentral:rRNA from 1 species
AGCUCCAAUAGCGUAUAUUAAAGUUGUUGCAGUUAAAAAGCUCGUAGUUGGAUUUGUGGCCCGUCCCGUCGGUUGGACCUAUUGGGUUUUACUGUACGGGUCGGCCAUCUUUGGGUGGAUCCUGUGUGGCAUUAGGUUGUCGUGCAGGGGAUGCCCAUCGUUUACUGUGAAAAAAUUAGAGUGUUCAAAGCAGGCUUAUGCCGUUGAAUAUAUUAGCAUGGAAUAAUGAUAUAGGACCUUGGUACUAUUUUGUUGGUUUGCGCACUAAGGUAAUGAUUAAUAGGGACAGUUGGGGGUAUUUGUAUUCCAUUGUCAGAGGUGAAAUUCUUGGAUUUUUGGAAGACGAACUACUGCGAAAGCAUUUACCAAGGAUGUUUUCAUUAAUCAAGAACGAAAGUAG